rnacentral:rRNA from 1 species
UGGGGAAUCUUGCACAAUGGGGGAAACCCUGAUGCAGCGACGCCGCGUGAGCGAUGAAGCCCUUCGGGGUGUAAAGCUCUUUCGGCAGGGAAGAUGAUGACGGUACCUGCAGAAGCAGCUGCGGCUAACUACGUGCCAGCAGCCGCGGUAAUACGUAGGCAGCAAGCGUUGUUCGGAGUUACUGGGCGUAAAGGGUGUGUAGGCGGUUGCUUAAGUUUGGUGUGAAAUCUCCCGGCUCGACUGGGAGGGUGCGCCGAAUACUGAGUGACUAGAGUGCGGGAGAGGAAAGUGGAAUUCCUAGGUGUAGCGGUGAAAUGCGUAGAUAUCAGGAGGAACACCGGUGGUGUAGACGGCUUUCUGGACCGUAACUGACGCUGAAACACGAAAGCGUGGGUAGCAAACAGGAUUAGAUACCCUGGUAGUCCACGCCCUAAACGGUGCAUAUUGGUGUGGGUCAUUCAGUUGAUCCGUGCCGGAGCUAACGCGUUAAAUA